rnacentral:rRNA from 1 species
GAUGAACGCUGGCGGCGUGCCUAAUACAUGCGAGUCGAGCGAACGGACGAGAAGCUUGCUUCUCUGAUGUUAGCGGCGGACGGGUGAGUAACACGUGGAUAACCUACCUAUAAGACUGGGAUAACUUCGGGAAACCGGAGCUAAUACCGGAUAAUAUUUUGAACCGCAUGGUUCAAAAGUGAAAGACGGUCUUGCUGUCACUUAUAGAUGGAUCCGCGCUGCAUUAGCUAGUUGGUAAGGUAACGGCUUAGCAAGGCAACGAUGCAUAGCCGACCUGAGAGGGUGAUCGGCCACACUGGAACUGAGACACGGUCCAGACUCCUACGGGAGGCAGCAGUAGGGAAUCUUCCGCAAUGGGCGAAAGCCUGACGGAGCAACGCCGCGUGAGUGAUGAAGGUCUUCGGAUCGUAAAACUCUGUUAUUAGGGAAGAACAUAUGUGUAAGUAACUGUGCACAUCUUGACGGUACCUAAUCAGAAAGCCACGGCUAACUACGUG